GCCGCCUGUGUAUCGGCACGACACUUUGUCGCCCUGGUAAUACUGACUUAGAAACGUUACAAGACCCUGUGAUUUGUACAAUAUAUUGACGUUUCACUGAUCUGGAUUUUGAUAUAUUUAUCGCUGUUACAUCACGUAGUGUGUUGGGUCCGUGACGUACGUGUACAUACAGAAUGUUUGCAAGAAGUUCCAACCCAGCUCGUCGUUUAAGACAAAUAUUGCACACAGUUCAUGCCAACCCUGGUUUUAUCAACUUGAACAUAAAAAGCAAGGCAACUAACAAUAGUGCUCAUAGAGUGGAAUAUAAAUUAUUAGAUGAGAUAUAUGCCGAAAGAACUGCUGAGUUGAUGACUACCACUAUGAUUGACACUCCAUUAAAACAAUAUCUCAAUGUCUCACCAAGUAUACUUCAUCAAUUCUACCAAAUUCUCGUCAGUAGAGCGGUUGA